rnacentral:piRNA from 1 species
UCCUUUUCUGUGAGGGUCUGCUGGGGUCC